rnacentral:rRNA from 1 species
CGAACGCUUCUUUUUCCACCGGAGCUUGCUCCACCGGAAAAAGAGGAGUGGCGAACGGGUGAGUAACACGUGGGUAACCUGCCCAUCAGAAGGGGAUAACACUUGGAAACAGGUGCUAAUACCGUAUAACAAUCGAAACCGCAUGGUUUUGAUUUGAAAGGCGCUUUCGGGUGUCGCUGAUGGAUGGACCCGCGGUGCAUUAGCUAGUUGGUGAGGUAACGGCUCACCAAGGCGACGAUGCAUAGCCGACCUGAGAGGGUGAUCGGCCACAUUGGGACUGAGACACGGCCCAAACUCCUACGGGAGGCAGCAGUAGGGAAUCUUCGGCAAUGGACGAAAGUCUGACCGAGCAACGCCGCGUGAGUGAAGAAGGUUUUCGGAUCGUAAAACUCUGUUGUUAGAGAAGAACAAGGAUGAGAGUAACUGUUCAUCCCUUGACGGUAUCUAACCAGAAAGCCACGGCUAACUACGUGCCAGCAGCCGCGGUAAUACGUAGGUGGCAAGCGUUGUCCGGAUUUAUUGGGCGUAAAGCGAGCGCAGGCGGUUUCUUAAGUCUGAUGUGAAAGCCCCCGGCUCAACCGGGGAGGGUCAUUGGAAACUGGGAGACUUGAGUGCAGAAGAGGAGAGUGGAAUUCCAUGUGUAGCGGUGAAAUGCGUAGAUAUAUGGAGGAACACCAGUGGCGAA